AUUGAACGCUGGCGGCAGGCCUAACACAUGCAAGUCGAGCGAGCGGCGGACGGGUGAGUAAUGUAUGGGGACUGCCCGAUAGAGGGGGAUAACUACUGGAAACGGUGGCUAAUACCGCAUACUAUCGGCUGACCCAUAUGGGCUUAGCUAGUAGGUGGGGUAAAGGCUCACCUAGGCGACGAUCUCUAGCUGGUCUGAGAGGAUGAUCAGCGACACUGGGACUGAGACACGGCACAUACUCCUACGGAGGCAGCAGUGGGGAAUAUUGCACAAUGGGCGCAAGCCUUAGGCAAUCAGGCCGCGUGUAUGAAGAAGGCCUUCGGGUUGGAAAGUACUUUCAGUCGGGAUGCGUUACCGACAGAAGAAGCACCGGCUAACUCCGUGCCAGCAGCCGCGGUAAUAC
rnacentral:rRNA from 1 species